UACUGAUUCCCACCUCCUUGUAUACCUUUCUGAAGGAGGUGACCGAGUGAGUGCAUCUGCCCUAUAAAAUUUUGCUGGGACUUGUGACAAAUCACUCUUCCCCACAAGGGGAUGUAGUGACAAAAAAUAAUGUAUACAGGAUUCUUUUGAGGCUCUGUAAUUGGAAUGAGUGGAUUUUAAAUUCUUAAUGAGGAUCCAUUGGAGGGAAAGUUGGGUGACCCAGUAACUCCAGGUUCAAUAGUCUAAGUUAGAGUUGCCACAGUUAAAAAGCUCGUAGCUGGAUCUUGGGAUUGAGCUGACUAGUCUACUCUGAGAGUAAUGGCCUAUCCCUAUCCCCUAAUUCUUAGUAACUCCUUAAUAUUAUUAGCUGAGUCCCAUAGGGCCCAAAGCCUUCCUUUACUUUGAAAAGGUUAUAGUAUUCAAAGCAGGCCCAAGUUGUCUAGAUAUCCCAGCCAGGAAAAAUGGAAUAGAGACCCCAGUUCUAUUUUGUUCAUUUUGGGGACUGGGACUAAGAGAGACAUGAUUAAGAGAGACAGGCAGAGGCAUUCCUCUUGUGCCACUAGAAGUGAAAUUCUUGUAGCUCCACAAGACCAGAAUGAAAAGUAUUUGCCAAGAAUGUUUCCAUUAACAAAGAAUGAAAAUCAGAGGUUUGAAGAUCAUUC
rnacentral:ncRNA from 1 species